AACGAACGCUGGCGGCAUGCCUAACACAUGCAAGUCGAACGAGACCUUCGGGUCUAGUGGCGUACGGGUGCGUAACGCGUGGGAACCUGCCCUUAGGUUCGGAAUAACUCCCCGAAAGGGGUGCUAAUACCGGAUAAUGUCUUCGGACCAAAGAUUUAUCGCCUUUGGAUGGGCCCGCGUUGGAUUAGCUAGUUGGUAGGGUAAAAGCCUACCAAGGCGACGAUCCAUAGCUGGUCUGAGAGGAUGAUCAGCCACACUGGGACUGAGACACGGCCCAGACUCCUACGGGAGGCAGCAGUGGGGAAUAUUGGACAAUGGGCGAAAGCCUGAUCCAGCAAUGCCGCGUGAGUGAUGAAGGCCUUAGGGUUGCAAAGCUCUUUUACCCGGGAUGAUAAUGACAGUACCGGGAGAAUAAGCUCCGGCUAACUCCGUG
rnacentral:rRNA from 1 species